UACAGAGGUCUCAAGCGUUGUUCGGAUUCAUUGGGCGUAAAGGGUGUGUAGGUGGCGCGCUAAGUCGGGUGUGAAAUUUCGGAGCUUAACUCCGAAACUGCAUUCGAUACUGGCGUGCUUGAGGACUGGAGAGGAGACUGGAAUUCAUGGUGUAGCAGUGAAAUGCGUAGAGAUCAUGAGGAAGACCAGUGGCGAAGGCGGGUCUCUGGACAGUUCCUGACACUGAGGCACGAAGGCCAGGGGAGCAAACGGGG
rnacentral:rRNA from 1 species